GUGGCUAUGUGUAUUAAGACACUUAUGGGAGAAUCGAUAGCACACUGGGCAAGACGCUUAGUGGCAUUUCAUCCAUCUUUAGGUUCUGAGUUCAAAUUCCACCAAGGUUGACUUUGCUUUCCGUC